AUUGAACGCUAGCGGGAUGCUUUACACAUGCAAGUCGAACGAGUGGCGGACGGGUGAGUAAUAUAUCGGAAGUGCCCAGUAGAGGGGGAUAACUACUGGAAACGGUAGCUAAUAGCGCAUAAUAUCGGAUAACCCAGAUGGGAUUAGCUAGUAGGUGGGGUAAUGGCUCACCUAGGCGACGAUCCCUAGCUGGUCUGAGAGGAUGAGCAGCCACACUGGGACUGAGACACGGCCCAGACUCCUACGGAGGCAGCCGUGGGGAAUAUUGCACAAUGGGCGCAAGCCUGAUGCAGCCAUGCCGCGUGUAUGAAGAAGGCCCUAGGGUUGUAAAGUACUUUCAGUCGGGAGGCGUUACCGACAGAAGAAGCACCGGCUAACUCCGUGCCAGCAGCCGCGGUAAUUC
rnacentral:rRNA from 1 species